GAUUUGUGCACUUAAUGCAGGCAGCGCCCCCCACACACCUGAGCACCUGGGCAGAAAGCCUCAGCAGUGCGGACCCUUCCCACACUACGGUGCUUCCCACCAACAGUUAAAAAAAAAAAAAAAUCAUUAUUUCGGGUCCGGGAGGCUUGGUAAAUAGCAUUAGCCUAAGGAGGAAGCAGAUUUCCUGAGCCCAGCUGAGAAAUACAAUUAAGUUGUAAUAUUUUGUCAAGGCUUGUCCUCCUCCUGACUGUUUAUCAGUGUUAAGAGACAAUUUAUACUUCGCAGUUCUCUGGGAUGCCCUAAACCAGAAACAACCCAAGCGUCCGUCAACAAGAGAUGGGAUAAACAGGCGGUGGUAUAUUCAUACAAUGGAAUACUGCUCUUCAAUGAAACACGACAAGCUGCUGACAUAUGCGACAAUGUGGAUGAUCCUCACAGACAUCAUGUGGAGAGAAAGAAGCCAGAUCCAAAAAAGUACAGACUGUCUGAUACCAUUUCUAUGAAGUACAAGAUCAGUCAAAACUGAUUUUGAUCACAUGUCACAAGAGUGGUGAUCUCCGGAGGCGGGUAUUGACUGGAAGGGUGUUCUCUGAGGUGACAGAAAUGUUCUAGUGGUCACACACCUUGUAAAAAGUCAUCAAGCUGGACACUUAAGAUUUGUUCUUUUUAAUUCAUGGAAAUUAAACCUCAGAUUUUAAAAACUUCUGAAAUUCAUUCAUGGUGUCAUUUAACUUGAAUUAAUAUCUCCCAACCUACCAAACUGUCCCAACCUUCCAGUAGUUUGCUGAAAAUUAACUUCUCAACACCCGGGGACUGUUGGCUUCUCCACCAGACCAUGAACUCCCAGCUCUUUAUGGGGCCCUCAGAUGGUUGCUGGAUGGAUGGAUGUAUAAGUGGAUGGAGGAAUGGAUGGAUAGAUAGAUGGAUGGAUGAAUGGGUAGGUAGUGGGAGGUGACCAGUCAGCAUGAGGCUAUGUGAUCAGGUGAUGGACUUAAGUUAAUGGGUCCACACAUUAGUGAAACAAUAACUUAUCCCAUUCCUCUGAGCUACUAGAAACCAAGUUUACAAACUGUGAUGGAGGAGAAGCACUAACUUGGAUAAUCCAAACUUGGACCAAA
ensembl:lncRNA